AUUGAACGCUGGCGGCAUGCUUUACACAUGCAAGUCGAACGGCAGCGCGGGCUUCGGCCUGGCGGCGAGUGGCGAACGGGUGAGUAAUGCAUCGGAACGUGCCCAGUAGUGGGGGAUAGCCCGGCGAAAGCCGGAUUAAUACCGCAUACGACCUGAGGGUGAAAGCGGGGGACCGAAAGGCCUCGCGCUAUUGGAGCGGCCGAUGUCGGAUUAGCUAGUUGGUGGGGUAAAGGCUUACCAAGGCGACGAUCCGUAGCUGGUCUGAGGGGACGACCAGCCACACUGGGACUGAGAAACGGCCCAGACUCCUACGGGAGGCAGCAGUGGGGAAUUUUGGACAAAGGGGGCAACCCUGAUCCAGCCAUGCCGCGUGCGGGAAGAAGGCCUUCGGGUUGUAAACCGCUUUUGUUCGGGAAGAAAUCCUCUGGGCUAAUACCCCGGGGGGAUGACGGUACCGGAAGAAUAAGCACCGGCUAACUACGUG
rnacentral:rRNA from 1 species